rnacentral:sRNA from 1 species
UGUGCCUGUGGCGGACCCGGCACAGGCCAUAUAAUAUGGCUUCGCAGGCAGCCGGUCUGUGUACGGUCUGGUAUUUCCCGGAAUUUCCGGGAUUUAACGCUUUCU